GCUUAACGCGAAGAACCUUACCAGGUCUUGACAUCCAGAGAACUUUCCAGAGACGGAUUGGUGCCUUCGGGAGCUCUGAGACAGGUGCUGCAUGGCUGUCGUCAGCUCGUGUCGUGAGAUGUUGGGUUAAGUCCCGUAACGAGCGCAACCCUUGUCCUUAGUUGCCAGCGCGUAAUGGCGGGAACUCUAAGGAGACUGCCGGUGACAAACCGGAGGAAGGUGGGAUGACGUCAAGUCAUCAUGGCCCUUACGACCUGGGCUACACACGUGCUACAAUGGGCGGUACAAGGGUUGCCAAGCCGCGAGGUGGAGCUAAUCCCAUAAAACCGUUCGUAGUCCGGAUUGGAGUCUGCAACUCGACUCCAUGAAGUCGGAAUCGCUAGUAAU
rnacentral:rRNA from 1 species